rnacentral:lncRNA from 1 species
GGCAGUCCUGUUCAUAUAUAAGAAGACUAACCCCACAAUACAAAGUCACACAAAAUGUUCCUUUACAAACAUAAGUAGGCAAGUCAUAUUCAUUAAUAAGAAGGCUAACCCCACAAUACAAAGUCACACAAAAAGUUCCUAUACAAACACAAGUAGGCAGUCCUGUUCAUAUAUAAGAAGGCUAACCCCACAAUACAAAGUCACACAAAAAGUUCCUAUACAAACACAAGUAGGCAAGUCCUGUUCAUUAAUAAGAAGGCUAACCCCACAAUACAAAGUCACACAAAAUGUUCCUUUACAAACACAAGUAGGCAGUCCUGUUCAUAUAUAAGAAGGCAAGUCAUGUUCAUUAAUAAGAAGGCUAACCCCACAAUACAAAGUCACACAAAAAGUUCCUAUACAAACACAAGUAGGUAAGUCCUGUUCAUUAAUAAGAAGGCUAACCCCACAAUACAAAGUCACACAAAAAGUUCCUAUACAAACACAAGUAGGCAAGUCAUGUUCAU